UUGCUUGCCAACCGCCAUUAAAACCAAAAAGAAGAAGAAGAGAGUGUUGCUAGUCGGUCAGAGCUUUGGGCGGGAAUAUCCCACGAACAGGAGGAGGAGGAGGAUGUUCUUCAUCUUUGUGACUCUGGGUUAGCGCACUUUCUUCAGAGAAGGCUAGAGGCAGCGCUGCACGGACUUUGCAGCCCUUGGACAGCGGAGCGAGUUUUCACGGUGUAUUUGGAGCACGGUGUAUUUCAGUGCUAUUCAGCAAACUUGGCUGUGAAAGAAGCAAAUACAAAGCUACUGCACCCGUCGAAGCUCUCUGUGUUUUCUUGGGUCUGAGGGGCUGCUACAGAAUCAUAUUUUCAAUGUGGAAGACUGAAUUUGGCCUGCAGAGUCGGCGUUUUCAGCUGCUUCCUCUCUGACAUGCAGCGGCGUUUCGGUGCAGCCGCCUGGAGUCCUGACUAAACACGUCAUCAGAGCAAAUCCCUCUGAAACCCGUCUGACCCGCAGCGGCUCGCGUCUGAAGCUUCUGGAAACUCUGGAAAUAUUUACGUCAACAUGUCAGAGGAAGCAGAUCUGGGUUUUCUCACCUUUCAUUUCAUAUUUCUUUUUAUCUUUGAGUUUGUGGAACAAAGAGGUGGAAUAACUGAUGAUUUCUGCGCUACAGAAAGUCAGUAAAUUAGAACCUGGUUCUGAUGAAACUCGUUUAUCAGACCAGAGGAAAACAAACCGCAGUAUUCAGACUUUUUAUUGAUCUAAUAUUACACAUACAGUUAUUACUGCUCCAAUCAAAAACUGUUUUCAUCUCUGCUGGUAUUUUGACAUCUUCCACUGUUUUCUACUGGUUUUUAUUAACAUUUCUGCUGUUUUUGACUUUCUGCACUUCUGGGACUUUUUGUGCGAACCUGUUCACCUGAUGCCGCUGUCACCUGAAUGUCCCUCUGUGAGACAAUAAAGGCCGUUUCUAUUCUUCUA